UGGCUCAGUGGUAGAGUGCAUGCCUUGCACGUAUGAGGCCCUGGGUUCAAUUCCUCAG
rnacentral:tRNA from 1 species